CAGCACCUCAAGUGGUCAGGAUGAUUAUUGGGCCUAAAGCAUCCGUAGCUUGCUUUGUCAGUUUUCGGUUAAAUCCAUACGCUCAACGUAUGGGCUGCCGGGAAUACUGCAAGGCUAGGGAGUGGGAGAGGUAGACGGUACUCGGUAGGAAGGGGUAAAAUCCUUUGAUCUAUUGAUGACCACCUGUGGCGAAGGCGGUCUACCAGAACACGUCCGUCAGUGGGGGAUGAAAGCUGGGGGAGCAAACCGGAUUAGAUACCCGAGUAGUCC
rnacentral:rRNA from 1 species